rnacentral:rRNA from 1 species
CACGUAGGUAACCUGCCCUUUAGUGGGGGAUACCCAGUCGAAAGAUUGGCUAAUACCGCAUGAGCUCUAUGGUUGGAAUACUGUAGAGGAAAGAUUUAUCGCUAAAGGAGGGGCCUGGGUCCGAUUAGCUAGUUGGUGAGGUAAAGGCUCACCAAGGCGACGAUCGGUAGCUGGUCUGAGAGGACGAUCAGCCACACUGGAACUGAGACACGGUCCAGACUCCUACGGGAGGCAGCAGUGGGGAAUUUUCCGCAAUGGGCGAAAGCCUGACGGAGCAACGCUGCGUGGAUGAUGAAGUCU